rnacentral:rRNA from 1 species
UCAAAACGGAGAGUUUGAUCCUGGCUCAGGAUGAACGCUGGCGGUAUGCUUAACACAUGCAAGUCGAACGAUGUGGGGACGUAGCAAUGCUACGUCUGUGCAUAGUGGCGGACGGGUGAGUA